rnacentral:rRNA from 1 species
GGAGCCCAAUGCAUCGGAGAUUCCUCGGAAUCAAAUGACUCUCGGCAAUGGAUAUCUCGGCUCUUGCAUCGAUGAAGAACGUAGUGAAAUGCGAUACUUGGUGUGAAUUGCAGAAUCUCGUGAACCAUUGAGUCUUUGAACGCAAGUUGUGCCCGAGGCCUUGUGGUCGAGGGCACGCCUGCUUGGGCGCCAUGGCAUCGUCGCCUUUGC